UAAUACCGGAUGAUGGCAUCAUUGACCGGUCAAAGGAGCAAUCCGCUGAAAGAUGGGCUCGCGUCCCAUUAGGUAGUUGGUGGGGGUAAAGGCCUACCAAGCCGACGAUGGGUAGCCGGACUGAGAGGGUGAUCGGCCACAUUGGGACUGAGACACGGCCCAAACUCCUACGGGAGGCAGCAGUGGGGAAUAUUGGGCAAUGGGGGAAACCCUGACCCAGCAACGCCGCGUGAAGGAAGAAGGCCUUCGGGUUGUAAACUCCUGUUGUUGAGGAAGAUAAUGACGGUACCCAACAAGGAAGUGACGGCUAACUACGUG
rnacentral:rRNA from 1 species